AGUAAAUGUGCCUGCGGCGCCUGGUGGGUCCCCCUGCGUCUUCGUUAGUUCCUUUUCCUUCUCUCAGACCUUUGGCUGGAAGCUGGUGGGGCUGAAAGGUGAAGGCUGCCACCUAGAGGUGAACUCUGGCACCUGCCAAAGCCUGCGAGGCGUCUUAUCUUCUCAUCAAGACUCACAGAGAGAACGUAACAGGAUUACUGCUGUGGCUGGAAGAGGCCAAUUCUGCAGCACCCACCGGUUUGCAUGAAGUUUCAAAACAGCUGCAGACAUCCAAAGCACUGGUUGCGGAAGCAUCAGAAAGGUGAAGCCACCCGCCUAAGACCGAAGAGCUAGAAGCAAAAGAGCCAAAUUUCAAAACUGCAAAGUGUUCCUGACCUCUGGGCUGUCCUGCUUCCUGGAAAUUGCUUGGGCAGUGCGCUCCAUCUUCCUGGGGCAUUUAACCCACAAGUUUGCUAGCAGCCAUGUUUUCAAGCUGCAACAACUACUUCUUGGAUGGUGAGAAUUGGGAGAGAUGGCAGAAGGCCUGGGGAAGAGUGGGGAUGCUGGGAAAGCCUCCUGGUGAGAAAGCUCAGGCCACAGCUGGGCCAGGGACAUCCACAGCAGUCUCCAGGCUCUGACACCCCCUCCCCAACCCUGACUCCCUCCCAGGGGAGAGAAUAACUUGGCUCCAAAGCUGAGGCCAGAAUAUAAGCCAGAGAC